GACGAACGCUGGCGGCGUGCUUAACACAUGCAAGUCGAGCGGUAAGGCCCUUUCGGGGUACGACGAGCGGCGAACGGGUGAGUAACGCGUGGGUGACCUGCCCUCAGCUCUGGGAUAAGCCUGGGAAACCGGGUCUAAUACUGGAUAUGACUCCAUGACGCAUGUUGUGGGGUGGAAAGCCUUGUGCGGCUGAGGAUGGGCCCGCGGCCUAUCAGCUUGUUGGUGGGGUGAGGCCUACCAAGGCGACGACGGGUAGCCGCCUGAGAGGGCGACCGGCCACACUGGGACUGAGACACGGCCCAGACUCCUACGGGAGGCAGCAGUGGGGAAGUCUUGCGCAA
rnacentral:rRNA from 1 species